rnacentral:lncRNA from 1 species
GCAUCUGUGAAAAAUAUCUUAAUCCUGUUAUAUUCUCUCCUUUGCGCUUCCCAGGAUGGACACUUCUGAGCUGGCAGAACAUCUGGCCUUGGUCUGGAGCCAUAUGUCUGCUCCUCUGUAGACGUGCACAUGGGCAGUAAUGGACGUGCCUUCACUGACCUACGUGUUUGCAAGUUCCAUGGCUGCCCCCCGUGUUUGGAGCAUGGAGACCGAUGGAAGAUGACAAGCACUGAUCAAGGAGGACUGUCUCGUCUGUUUGUGAUCUGCUCUGCUCUGUGA